rnacentral:rRNA from 1 species
UCGAGAAUAUUCGUCAAUGCCCGAAAGGGUGAACGAGCGAUGCCGCGUGCGGGAUGAAGGCCCUUGGGUUGUAAACCGCUUUUAUAAAGGAAAAAUGUAAUGAUGGUACUUUAUGAAUAAGAGGUUACUAACUCUGUGCCAGCAGUAGCGGUAAUACAGAGACCUCAAGCGUUAUCCGGAUUUAUUGGGCGUAAAGAGCGAGUAGGUGGAUAUGAUAGUCAGAUGUCAAAUCCCCGGGCUUAACCCGGGAACUGCAUUUGAAACGUCAUAUCUAGAGGGAGCGAGAGACCAGUGGAACUCAUGGUGUAGUAGUGAAAUGCGUUGAUAUCAUGGGGAACACCAAAGGCGAAGGCAUCUGGUUGGCGCUCAUCUGACACUGAGUCGCGAAAGCGUGGGAAUC